rnacentral:rRNA from 1 species
UACGAAGGGGGCUAGCGUUGCUCGGAAUUACUGGGCGCCAAGGGCGCGAAGGCGGCCUGACAAGUCAGAGGUGAAAGUCCUGGGCUCAACCUGGGGACUGCCUUUGAAACUGUCGGGCUUGAGACCGGGAGAGGUGAGUGGAAUUCCCAGUGGAGAGGUGAAAUUCGUAGAUAUUGGGAAGAACACCAGUGGCGAAGUCGGCUCACUGGACCGGUUCUGGCGCUGAGGCGCGAAAGCGUGGGGAGCAAACAGG